UCGGGUGUGGUGCAGGGUGCACGGCAGCUUUCAAUAAUUCGGGUGACAUUUUGAGGCCGCAGACCGGGGUUCGACCCCCCGCAUCCGAA